UGGGAGUGGGACUAUGUAACGAACAGCCCUCUUGCCUUUUACCAGAUGGCUCCUUGCAUAGCCCAAAAUACUCCAUUCCCUUAAUCUUUGGAACCACUUCUCUGGAGCAU
rnacentral:snRNA from 1 species